GUGUGCUGUUGCCAAGACAAAUGUUCGUGGCAGUAACAAGUCUGGAUCUGUCACUAUCUUCAUGCCUUUUAGCUUAGCGCACUUUAUUGGGAAAUCGCCGUUUACGGCUCCCAGGGCUUUGCAAAUAAAGAACAGCCUGUUAUGCAGGAGCAGGUGGUGAUUUCUACACUGCAGUUCUGAAGUUUUACCUUCCAUCCCAUUCUCCUGUGAUUUUUCCUGCUUUAUUGCAUAAGAAAAAAAGAAAAGAAAGGCAGCCAGCCUCCUUGUCCUCAGGGAGCACUUCCUCCCCUCUGCUAUGGGAAUGGUUUUUGGACUGGAAUUGCUGCUAUUUGCAAACUCGUUCAGCCCCUUACUUUUCUCGUUGGGUGAGUGUGGCUCUCCCGCUUGGAGCGGCGUGCACCUGCUGUCUGCCAGCACUGAGUGACGGCUGCUGAUGGAAUCUACGUGGGAAAGCCCUUCGCCAUCAAAAGGAAAAUACUGUCUGUGCUCCUCAGAAGGACAUGAUGUGAUCCGCUGCCAGAGAUUUGUCACUCAGUGGAUGGAGUGUGGGAUGGAACACAGCAGCUCCUGCUGGUGCCUUCGUCACUGCUCCAAGGCAUUAAACCACUCAUGCAGCAAGGGGAGGGAGUGGGAUCAGAGCUCGGAAUGGAACUCAGAUGGAGCAAGGCAGCAUGGAGAUGGCUACAGUGAGAAGAUCAAUGCUCAAGCAAGGCCACCAGGUUCACACCAGCACCCAGAGACUAAGGCUUUGGUGUCCCCAGCCCGCACACAGCGAUAUCCAAAAGAGCACGAGAUGUGGCAGAAGUAACCCAUCAGAGAUGGAGCCCUGCACUAUGGCAACCAGAGCAGGAGGGAGGAGGGCCCCAAGAUGGCUGCCUGGGCCUCAGGUGUUGAUCCAGCAUGGAUAGAAGGUCCCAUGGUGUCGUGUUUGUACGCUGUGUCCUGCCACCAGUGGAUCCCAGUUCCCACAGUGCUGGCUCAAACCAAUGGGCUGAACCCAGGUGAAGGAGCCACUCAACUCCAGCUGCAGUCAAGUGCUUUUGCCUCUUCCAUAAAACCAAGUCACAGCAGUUCAACCUUCCCAUGGGAUUGGUCAUUGUUUCAAAGAGCUUGCCCAUUUCUGAGAAGGUGUCAAGUAGUCUUUUCUAAUUGCAAAUGUAAAAAAUAGAAAUCCUCUUUUCCUCCUCUAAAGACAAAGCGCAGAACUCAUAAAAAUUGCUAUUAUUUAUUUAAGACAUGUUGCCUUUUAAAAUUAAAACAAAUGCAGAGAAGUGGUAAAGUUUUUUAAUA